rnacentral:ncRNA from 1 species
UUAGCUAUUUUAGAUAAGUUUGUGUUCAUGAGAUUCAUGGGUGCAAACACACUGUUUGUAUCUAUGAUGGCUAAGGAUGUUUGAGAUGACAUGUCCGCCACAUAGAUGAAAAUCUAUAGUGGCUUUUUUAUUAGAAAGUUUUAAGGCCCACUGUAGAUCGUCUACGGCGGGCUUUUUUUAUACAUAAA